ensembl:lncRNA
GGAUGACGUCAUUUCGUACCGGAACCCGGAAGUUAGCACACUGGUUUCCUCGCCAACCCUCCUCCCCAAAAAAGCUCUGUGCCGCAAAAUUUGUGCAACAGAAUCCACAUUGCCUGUCUGGUCUACUUUCCUGACGUAGGUCCAGAAACCUGUUUUGAUUUGAUGGUUUUGGCGUCAGUGAGACGGCGGUCUGUUUCAGGUGACGGUGUAAAGUCUGCUGAACAGACACGUCUGGAAAUAAAGAGAUCUAUUCAGCGCUUAAUGGCAGCCUAUAGGGCAGUGCACCAUGUGUUCUCGAGUGGAAGAGCACCCUAGAGGGUACUUCAUCAUGCUUCCUAUC